UAUAAUUGGGGCUCUUAAGGGUGACAGCGGCGGACGGGUGAGUAAUGUCUGGGAAACUGCCUGAUGGAGGGGGAUAACUACUGGAAACGGUAGCUAAUACCGCAUAACGUCUUCGGACCAAAGAGGGGGACCUUCGGGCCUCUUGCCAUCAGAUGUGCCCAGAUGGGAUUAGCUAGUAGGUGAGGUAAUGGCUCACCUAGGCGACGAUCCCUAGCUGGUCUGAGAGGAUGACCAGCCACACUGGAACUGAGACACGGUCCAGACUCCUACGGGAGGCAGCAGUGGGGAAUAUUGCACAAUGGGCGCAAGCCUGAUGCAGCCAUGCCGCGUGUGUGAAGAAGGCCUUCGGGUUGUAAAGCACUUUCAGCGGGGAGGAAGGCGGUGAGGUUAAUAACCUCAUCGAUUGACGUUACCCGCAGAAGAAGCACCGGCUAACUCCGUGCCAGCAGCCGCGGUAAUACGGAGGGUGCAAGGGUUAAUCGGAAUGACUGGGCGUAAAGCGCACGCAGGCGGUUUGUUAAGUCAGAUGUGAAAUCCCCGAGCUUAACUUGGGAACUGCAUUUGAAACUGGCAAGCUAGAGUCUUGUAGAGGGGGGUAGAAUUCCAGGUGUAGCGGUGAAAUGCGUAGAGAUCUGGAGGAAUACCGGUGGCGAAUGCGGCCCCCUGGACAAAGACUGACGCUCAUGUGCAAAAGCGUGGGGAGCAAACAGGAUUAGAUACCCCUGGUAGUCCCACGCUGU
rnacentral:rRNA from 1 species